CUUUACAAAGCGAUGCACACCAGUACUCUCUGCAAAUCAAACAGAUGGUGGUUUUAGGUUUAUGUGCAAGAAGGAAAUCGACAUAUUGAGAUAACAGCGUGUGCUAUAAAUGAACAGAAGAUAUGCAAGAUGAUAUUUCAUUUCUUCCAUGCGAGAAGCUCAUGGCAGGUCUGAACGGUCAAAACGAAAUACCUCCUCGUCAUAUGGCUAUGAAUGGUUCGGUGCAAAUUAAGAUGUUUCCAGGGAUUGGAAUAAGUCCUGUACCUCAUGAAAGUGGAUUUUUUGAGAAUUAUAGUUCAAAUUCUCAAUCGUGUAAGUGACUGUAUUCUUUAUGAUUUUGUCAAAAUGUAAUUUAAUUUAAACAGUAUUCUAUUAUGAAUAACAUAAUAAGGAUUAGGCAAAAGGCAAUGCCUGUAUAAGCCUUAUCCUUUAAGGUACAAGGUAAAGUCCACAUAAUUAUACACACAAGAAAUUACAAUAUACAUAUGAAGUAAAAGGAUAAUAAGUCAUUCCAAAUAUAAUGAUUAUAUAAGUAUUAUGAUUUCUUGAUAUGAAUAAUAGGCUGACAAAAUAGAAAUGUGGCGUAGUUAAUGGGAUCUAAAUGACAUACAAAAGAGAAAAAAAAAUGAAAUCAAAUAAAAAUAGUGAGAGAAAUACGAAUAAGUACAACAGGAGAAAAAAAAGAGAUUGAGAGUACCGACUCAAAUAGGAUAAGAAUAGACAUACAUAACAAACACACAUGUAUUAAAUGCAUUUUUAAAAUCUUUUGCUUUCUAUAAUAUAUUUCUGAACAUAUUCAAAAAUCUUUGAAACCAAGAAGCUCAUCACCACUCAGCAAUAACGUUAAUGAUAUGGGAUCUUGUAGUUUCUAUGCAUUUAUUGACUCAAAAAAGAUCAAUUCUAUGUACUAAGUACUGAACACAUUCAAAGAAAAAAUGAUAAGCAUUUUCAGCAUGGUGACCACACAAAUCACAAGUAGCAUCAUCUCGU